GGAGUCCUCAGUGGCACAAUGAGUCUGGCUUUUAACCAUAAGGUCGGUGGUUUGAGCCCACCCAGGAUUCCU